UGCUGACAGUGGCAUAGUUACAUUAACUGU
rnacentral:piRNA from 1 species